AAUACUUCUUGGCCUUUUGGCUGAGAUCAAGUGUAGUAUCUGUUCUUAUCAGUUUAAAAUCUGAUACGUCCUCGAUGAAGACAUGAACUGUGUUGCAUGUGGGUCAAGCAGUAUGGCCUUAUAGUGUUAGGUUUUGGACAAUUCACAGUAUAGUCUUUUCCUAAACCAUGGAUA
rnacentral:snRNA from 1 species